rnacentral:rRNA from 1 species
UACGUAGGGUGCAAGCGUUGUCCGGAAUUAUUGGGCGUAAAGAGCUCGUAGGCGGUGUGUCGCGUCGGCCGUGAAAACCUGCAGCUUAACUGUGGGCUUGCGGUCGAUACGGGCAUCACUGGAGUUCGGCAGGGGAGACUGGAAUUCCUGGUGUAGCGGUGAAAUGCGCAGAUAUCAGGAGGAACACCGGUGGCGAAGGCGGGUCUCUGGGCCGAUACUGACGUGAGGAGCGAAAGCGUGGGGAGCGAACAGGAUAGAA